GACGAACGCUGGCGGCGUGCCUAAUACAUGCAAGUAGAACGCACAGUUUAUACCGUAGCUUGCUACACCAUAGACUGUGAGUUGCGAACGGGUGAGUAACGCGUAGGUAACCUGCCUGGUAGCGGGGGAUAACUAUUGGAAACGAUAGCUAAUACCGCAUAAUAUUGAUUAUUGCAUGAUAAUUGAUUGAAAGAUGCUAUUGCAUCACUACCAGAUGGACCUGCGUUGUAUUAGCUAGUAGGUGAGGUAACGGCUCACCUAGGCGACGAUACAUAGCCGACCUGAGAGGGUGAUCGGCCACACUGGGACUGAGACACGGCCCAGACUCCUACGGGAGGCAGCAGUAGGGAAUCUUCGGCAAUGGACGAAAGUCUGACCGAGCAACGCCGCGUGAGUGAAGAAGGUUCUCGGAUCGUAAAGCUCUGUUGUAAGAGAAGAACGGGUGUGAGAGUGGAAAGUUCACACUGUGACGGUAUCUUACCAGAAAGGGACGGCUAACUACGUG
rnacentral:rRNA from 1 species